rnacentral:rRNA from 1 species
GACGAACGCUGGCGGCGUGCUUAACACAUGCAAGUCGAACGGAAAGGCCCUGCUUUUGUGGGGUGCUCGAGUGGCGAACGGGUGAGUAACACGUGAGUAACCUGCCCUUGACUUUGGGAUAACUUCAGGAAACUGGGGCUAAUACCGGAUAGGAGCUCCUGCUGCAUGGUGGGGGUUGGAAAGUUUCGGCGGUUGGGGAUGGACUCGCGGCUUAUCAGCUUGUUGGUGGGGUAGUGGCUUACCAAGGCUUUGACGGGUAGCCGGCCUGAGAGGGUGACCGGCCACAAUGGGACUGAGAUACGGGCCAGACUCCUACGGGGGGCAGCAGGGGGGAAUAUUGCACAAUGGGCGGAAGCCUGAUGCAGCAACGCCGCGUGCGGGAUGAAGGCCUUCGGGUUGGAAACCGCUUUCGGCUGGGACGAAGCGUGGGUGACGGUAAUGGGUAAAGAAGCACCGGCUAACUACGUG